GACGAACGCUGGCGGCGUGCUUAACACAUGCAAGUCGAGCGGUAAGGCCCUUUCGGGGGUACGACGAGCGGCGAACGGGUGAGUAACACGUGGGUGACCUGCCCUCAGCUCUGGGAUAAGCCUGGGAAACCGGGUCUAAUACCGGAUAUGACUCCAUGACGCAUGUUGUGGGGUGGAAAGCCUUGUGCGGCUGAGGAUGGGCCCGCGGCCUAUCAGCUUGUUGGUGGGGUGAUGGCCUACCAAGGCGACGACGGGUAGCCGGCCUGAGAGGGCGACCGGCCACACUGGGACUGAGACACGGCCCAGACUCCUACGGGAGGCAGCAGUGGGGAAUCUUGCGCAAUGGGCGAAAGCCCUGACGCAGCGACGCCGCGUGAGGGAUGACGGCCU
rnacentral:rRNA from 1 species